rnacentral:rRNA from 1 species
GUAGGUGGCAAGCGUUGUCCGGGAAUUAUUGGGGCGUAAAGCGCGCGCAGGCGGUUCUUAAAGGUCUGAUGUGAAAGCCCACGGGCUCAACCGUGGAGGGUCAUUGGAAACUGGAGAACUUGAGUACAGAAGAGGAAAGCGGAAUUCCACGUGUAGCGGUGAAAUGCGUAGAGAUGUGGAGGAACACCAGUGGCGAAGGCGGCUUUCUGGUCUGUAACUGACGCUGAGGCGCGAAAGCGUGGGGAGCAAACAGGAUUAGAUACCCUGGUAGUCCACGCCGUAAACGAUGAGUGCUAAGUGUUAGGGGGUUUCCGCCCCUUAGUGCUGCAGCUAACGCAUUAAGCACUCCGCCUGGGGAGUACGGCCGCAAAGGCUG